rnacentral:rRNA from 1 species
GACGUAGGAGGCGAGCGUUGUCCGGAUUCAUUGGGCGUAAAGAGCUCGUAGGCGGUCUGUCGCGUCUGCUGUGAAAACUCGGGGCUUAACCCCGGGCCUGCAGUGGGUACGGGCAGACUAGAGUGCGGUAGGGGAGACUGGAAUUCCUGGUGUAGCGGUGAAAUGCGCAGAUAUCAGGAGGAACACCGGUGGCGAAGGCGGGUCUCUGGGCCGUAACUGACGCUGAGGAGCGAAAGCAUGGGGAGCGAACAGG